ACAACACUUACUACACUGCCUGUUAAAUAAGAGCAAUACCUGAUCACUAGGCCCUGUUUGAUUUAUGAAAGCCGGUGUGCGCACGACGUCAUUGUGCUCGGCAGUCUGGGAGAGGAAGCGUUGGUGGGAGAAGAGAGGACCGAGGAGCGGGAAGAUCGAGGAGCAGCGGCAGCCCCAGCGACGGUGCGUACUGUACAGCAUGUGCCCACCCAUCCACUAAAAAGCACCAGCAGGUCUGCAGCCUGCCUGCCUGAGCCCCUGGCCCCGAAGAAGCAACCUGUCAGUCCAGGAUCCCGGCAGCAGCACAGCACAUGGCCAGCAUGAGCACUUCAGGGAGAGUGCUGCCCCCCAGCCAGCGCACAGCAGGGAGGAGUCCUAGGAGCAGCAGCACGGCGUUGAGCGAUGUCGCGUGAUACUGUAUGCAGCUGGCCGCCCACAAGCACACGGUCUGCAGCCUGCCUGAGCCCCUGGUCCUGAGGAGGAGUACAGCCACCCAUGCAGCCCGGGAUCCCAGCAGCAGCACAGCACACAGUCAGCAUCAGCACUGCAGGGAGAGUACUGCCCCCCUGUCCAGGAUGCCUGAUGUCUAACUGAAGUUGAGACUGUACUGCUGUUGUACAUACAAGAUUUGCAUCCUUCCAUUACCCUUCAUGAUAGGAGAGUUGACAGAGGAAAUGAUAUUGGUGGUCAUUCCGAGUUGAUCGCAGCCAGCAACUUUUAGCUGCUGCUGCGAUCAACAGUCCACGCCUAUGGGGGAGUGUAUUUUAGCUUAGCAGGGCUGCGAUCGCUUGAGCAGCCCUGCUAAAAAAAUUUCAAGCAGAAGUAGAGUAGCUCUGGACAUGUGCGAUGGAUCCAACGAUGAUGGGGCCGGCUUUGAUGUCACUCCUCCGCCCUCCGUUGUCCUGGACACGCCUGCGUUUCACUCACCACUCCCCGAAAACGCUCUCCAACGAUCCAGAUCUGCCCAUCCACGCCUCCUUGCUGUCAAUCCUCUUAGCGGUCGCUGCUGCGACCGCUCCCGUCGGUAGCCGCGACAAAACCCGGUGACCCCUGUCGCCGAGCAACGUCGCGUACGUGCCCUGCGCCCUCCGCGCAUGUGCAUUCCGCACCCGUUUGCACAGCAGCAAAAAAACGCUGCUUGCGAACGGGUCGGAAUGACCCCCAUUGAACACAGGCAACUAACAGAUGUCGUCUUUCUUCUGUAGAGACCAGUGAAAUCAUUGAACAGUGCUAUAGGGGUAUAUGAACUUAACUUCAACAUCACAUUCCGCUCAUCUUUUGAAAGUACCAAUCAAAAAAAAAACAAUGACUAUUGUAAACACAUGCUAUGUAUGAAUUUGUACUGAUUUGUGACAUAUUGACUGGUGCUGGAUUGUUCUGAUUUAAUAAAGGGGAAAUGCAACUGAAGUACGGCCCAAUCACCUUUCUAA